UUAUUGAUCUAAUUUUACAUUUUUGUGUUCCAUUUGUAGGUACCGUCAAGGAUCUCAAGUCCAUUUUAGAGGGCGGAGUUGACGCCUUGUCAAAUUUACAUGAAUGAACAUUAAAGGUUUAGAAGAGGUCAUCGUGGGGGGCGGAGUCAUGCGUCCCAUCUAAUAUGGCGUUUUGGCCUUUUGUCACUUCAUUUAACCGUUUUUAAGAGUACCGUCAAGGAUCUCAAGUCCAUUUUAGAGGGCGGAGUUGACGCCUUGUCUUCACAUUUACAUGAAUGAACAUUAAAGGUUGAGAAGAGGUCAUCGUUGGGGGGUGGAGUCAUGCAUCCCAUCUAAUAUGGCGUUUUGGCCUUUUGUCACUUCAUUUAACCGUUUUUAAGAGUAUCGUCAAGGAUCUCAAGUCCAUUUUAGAGGGCGGAGUUGACGCCUUGUCUUCAAAUUUACAUGAAUGAACAUUAAAGGUUUAGAAGAGGUCAUCGUGGGGGGCGGAGUCAUGCAUCCCAUCUAAUAUGGCGUUUUGGCCUUUUGUCACUUCAUUUAACCAUUUUAAAGAGUAUAGU